UACGGGGGGGGCAAGCGUUGUUCGGAAUUACUGGGCGUAAAGGGCUCGUAGGCGGCCAACUAAGUCGGAUGUGAAAUCCCCAGGCUCAACCUGGGAACUGCAUCCGAUACUGGAUGGCUUGAAUCCGGGAGAGGGAUGCAGAAUUCCAGGUGUAGCGGUGAAAUGCGUAGAUAUCUGGAGGAACACCGGUGGCGAAGGCGGCUUCCUGGACCGACACUGACGCUGAGGCGCGAAAGCUAGGGGAGCAAACGGG
rnacentral:rRNA from 1 species